ensembl:snoRNA
AACCCCAUUCCUGAGAAUGGGCACCAUUGAUCCUGGUGCCCAGAAAUUCUUAAUGGGGCUGCAUUGAGACACAGGUUAUGUUUCCAUCACAGACUCCCAAACUUAUUGCUGUGAUGACAACGAGACCUGUACCUUUU